rnacentral:rRNA from 1 species
UUAGUGGCGGACGGGUGAGUAACGUGUGGGCAACCUGCCCUGUACUGGGGAAUAAUCAUUGGAAACGAUGACUAAUACCGCAUGUGGUCCUCGGAAGGCAUCUUCUGAGGAAGAAAGGAUUUAUUCGGUACAGGAUGGGCCCGCAUCUGAUUAGCUAGUUGGUGAGAUAACAGCCCACCAAGGCGACGAUCAGUAGCCGACCUGAGAGGGUGAUCGGCCACAUUGGGACUGAGACACGGCCCAAACUCCUACGGGAGGCAGCAGUGGGGAAUAUUGCACAAUGGGCGAAAGCCUGAUGCAGCAACGCCGCGUGAAGGAUGAAGGGUUUCGGCUCGUAAACUUCUAUCAAUAGGGAAGAAACAAAUGACGGUACCUAAAUAAGAAGCCCCGGCUAACUACGUGCCACCAGCCGCGGUAAUACGUAGGGGGCAAGCGUUAUCCGGAAUUACUGGGUGUAAAGGGAGCAUAGGCGGCAUGGUAAGCCAGAUGUGAAAGCCUUGGGCUUAACCCGAGGAUUGCAUUUGGAACUAUCAAGCUAGAGUACAGGAGAGGAAAGCGGAAUUCCUAGUGUAGCGGUGAAAUGCGU